UCUGAAGCAUUUAGAGAAGAUAUGGCUUGAAAUAAGGCUGCCUUUGCUGAAUUUGUUCUUGAUGAGAAAAUAGAGGCACACAAAAGUUAAGUAAUCUGUUCAACGUCACACAGGAAAAUUAUGGUAAAGAGGAGGAUAGAACCCAAAUCACCUG